GUGCCAGCCGCCGCGGUAAUACCGGCAGCCCGAGUGAUGGCCGAUCUUAUUGGGCCUAAAGCGUCCGUAGCUGGCCGCGCAAGUCCAUCGGGAAAUCCACUCGCUCAACGAGUGGCCGUCCGGUGGAAACUCCACACCUUGGGACCGGAAGGCUCGAAGGGUACGGCCGGGGUAGGAGUGAAAUCCUGUAAUCCCGUCCGGACCACCGAUGGCGAAAGCACUCUGAGAAGACGGCUUCGACAGUGAGGGACGAAAGCUCGGGUCUCAAACCGGAUUAGAUACCCUAGUAGUCC
rnacentral:rRNA from 1 species